rnacentral:lncRNA from 1 species
GACGAUAUCAUGAUACUCGGCAACAUGUUUGCAGCACCGGCUGCGCAUGGCAUGCUUUUUUUUCUAUAUAUAUAUGGUAAGGGAAAUAUAUGUUAUUGGCAAAAUCGUCGUUAGCUUGCGAGCUUGACCGCCGUUGCAAUCGUUUUCUGCUCGCACUAUGUUGGAAUGUUGGAGGCAAGCGUCAGUAUCUGUACCUUAAACAUGCUGUACGCUUUGCAAUGUUCCCACGAACCAACCGUGCUAUUGCAUACUUAUGUGGAUCCCGUAGCGGGAUGAUAGGCCAGCCGUGUAUGUAUCAAUGGGUAGGGAUUUCCUGUUUUUAUUCAAAUAUUUUACCUACUACCCGCAAAAGAUUGGACAAUUAUUUUGGGAGGAAAUUUGGCUGAGUAUUCUUUUACGUGGAGAGGGUGGAGAGGGGAGACGAAUUAAGAAACAACAUACAUACUCUUUUUUUAAUAUAAAUCUUUCAUUGGAGAUUCUUUUUUUAAUAUAAAUAUUUCAUUGUAUUGGACGAUGACUCUUUGAGUUAGUCUAAACCGUUAGAUCUUCAUAAAAUCUAACGGUAUAUAUUUUUCUCUUUUUUAGAUUAAUGUAGGAAUUUCUAGACCUUCUUGGCGAACGUGGUGGAUUCUUUUAACACUAUUAUAUUAAGAUAAUAGAUUAAAAAGCAUAAGAGGUGUGAACUCAUUAUCCACGUAUAGCAUGUAUCAU